AUUGAACGCUGGCGGCAUGCCUUACACAUGCAAGUCGAACGGUAACAGGUCUUCGGAUGCUGACGAGUGGCGAACGGGUGAGUAAUACAUCGGAACGUGCCCGAUCGUGGGGGAUAACGAAGCGAAAGCUUUGCUAAUACCGCAUACGAUCUACGGAUGAAAGCAGGGGACCGCAAGGCCUUGCGCGAACGGAGCGGCCGAUGGGAGAUUAGGUAGUUGGUGGGAUAAAAGCUUACCAAGCCGACGAUCUGUAGCUGGUCUGAGAGGACGACCAGCCACACUGGGACUGAGACACGGCCCAGACUCCUACGGGAGGCAGCAGUGGGGAAUUUUGGACAAUGGGCGAAAGCCUGAUCCAGCCAUGCCGCGUGCAGGAUGAGGGCCUUCGGGUUGUAAACUGCUUUUGUACGGAACGAAAAGACUCUGGUUAAUACCUGGGGUCCAUGACGGUACCGUAAGAAUAAGCACCGGCUAACUACGUGCCAGCAGCCGCGGUAAGAC
rnacentral:rRNA from 1 species